GUCUGUGUAGUUUAAUUGGUAGAACAUUACUCUUUUCGCUUGUUACCUGCUUUUUACCACCAAGAAAACAGUGCCGUAAAAGAGAGUUACUUCGACUGUUAAUCGGGAGUUGCAAGUGCAAAUCUUGCCGCAAACU
rnacentral:tRNA from 1 species